CGGAACACGUACACAACCUUCCUUUAAGUGGGGGAUAGCCCAGAGAAAUUUGGAUUAAUACCCCGUAAUAUUAUUGAGUGGCAUCAUUUAGUAAUUAAAGCUCCGGCGCUUGAAGAUGGGUGUGCGUCUGAUUAGGUAGUUGGUGUAGGUCACGGCUCACCAAGCCAACGAUCAGUAACUGGUGUGAGAGCACGACCAGUCACACGGGCACUGAGACACGGGCCCG
rnacentral:rRNA from 1 species